rnacentral:rRNA from 1 species
CAUGUAGGCGGCAUGACAAGUCUGGUGUGAAAUAUCUCGGCUCAACCGAGAAAACGCACUGGAAACUGUCAAGCUUGAGUAUCGGAGGGGAAGCUAGAAUUCCUGGUGUAGGGGUGAAAUCUGUAGAUAUCAGGAAGAAUACCGGUGGCGAAGGCGAGCUUCUGGCCAGAUACUGUCGCUGAGAUGCGAAAGCGUGGGGAGCGAACAGGAUUAGAUACCCUGGUAGUCC